rnacentral:rRNA from 1 species
GGACUACCCGGGUAUCUAAUCCCGUUCGCUACCCUAGCUUUCGCGCCUCAGCGUCAGAAGAGGUCCAGCACGUCGCUUUCGCCACCGGCGUUCCUUCCGAUAUCAACGCAUUUCACCGCUCCACCGGAAGUUCCACAUGCCCCUACCUCGCUCAAGUCCACCAGUUUCCAAGGCACUUUUCCGGUUAAGCCGAAAGAUUUCACCCCGGACUUGGUAGACCGCCUACGCGCCCUUUAAGCCCAGUGAUUCCGAACAACGUUCGCACGGUUCGUCUUACCGCGGCUGCUGGCAC